AGGGGCCAACGUUUACUGAAUUUUAAUUAGACUUGAGUUAAUGUGGGAUGCUGAUUGAUUGUUUUUUGGUUUAAAGAAGGGUGAUAAAAUCCUCACCUUAUCUUGUUAUGGGUAUUGUCCUUAAGUUUAUUUGAAAUUAAUAUGCAUAACCAAUUUCAAACAAGGGGUUCUAUGCAACUAAAUUAGAUGCAUGAAAUUAAUCAAACUUAAAAGUUUAUCUUGUCU
rnacentral:lncRNA from 1 species